CUUCGGGGUGCACCAGGCGCGAAAACUUUACAAUGCUGGCAACAGCGAUAAGGGGACCUUGAGUGCCAGGAUACAAUCCUGGCUGUCGUGAUGCCUAAAAAGCAUUAUAUAGCAAGGGCCGGGCAAGACCGGUGCCAGCCGCCGCGGUAACACCGGCGGCUCGAGUGGUAACCGCUAUUAUUGGGUCUAAAGGGUCUGUAGCCGGCUUGGUUAGUCUCUUGGGAAAUCCGGCAGCUUAACUGUCGGGCUUUCAGGAGAUACUGCCAGGCUCGAGACCGGGAGAGGUGAGAGGUACUUCAUGGGUAGGGGUGAAAUCUUGUAAUCCUUGAAGGACCACCAGUGGCGAAGGCGUCUCACCAGAACGGAUCUGACGGCAAGGGACGAAAGCUAGGGGCACGAACCGGAUUAGAUACCCGGGUAGUCCUAGCCGUAAACGAUACUCGCUAGGUGUCGGCCACGGUGCGACCGUGGUCGGUGCCGUAGGGAAGCCGUGAAGCGAGCCACCUGGGAAGUACGGCCGCAAGGCUGAAACUUAAAGGAAUUGGCGGGGGAGCAC
rnacentral:rRNA from 1 species